UACGUAGGGGGCGAGCGUUGUCCGGAAUUACUGGGCGUAAAGGGCGCGUAGGCGGUCCUUUAAGUCCGCGGUGAAAUCCUGGGGCUUAACCUCAAGGCUGCCUUCUAGACUGUCCGGCUCGAGCACAGUAGAGGCAGGUGGAAUUCCCGGUGUAGCGGUGGAAUGCGUAGAGAUCGGGAAGAACAUCGGUGGCGAAGGCGGCCUGCUGGGCUGUUGCUGACGCUGAGGCGCGACAGCGUGGGGAGCAAACAGG
rnacentral:rRNA from 1 species